AGUUCAGGGCCCUUGUGACCCUCAAGCCCCACCCCCCCGGCCACUCCCGCGCUCUUGAGUUACCCGGAUAAUCCCGCCCCCUCUUGAAAGUCGAACUGGUCACCUUGACCACGUUAAGGGGUGACACCACUGGGCAGGUAGGACAGGGUUUCGGUUUGUGCCGAGGACACGAGUGGCACAAGUCUCUGAAAUCAGUCAGUCUCUAAUAUAAAACGAAGGUUUCAGUCAAUCAGUCUCAGCAGAAGAUGCUUUCUUCACAUGUGAGCAGUGAAUCCAAGAGUCCUUUUCUCCAAUCUUUAUGGAUGUUGGAGUAGUUAACAAUAUUUGGAAUGGUCCUUCCCACGAAAGGAAAAAACCUCGUUCAUAAAAAAACAACACAAUCUCUAUGGCGACUUUAAGAAACCCUACCCCCUUGGAGUGAGCUGGCAUUCUGUAGACUGGGCUCCUGUAGUCCAAGAUGGCUACUAUCCAACCCUCACUCAAGCUGCCAGCAACAGAAGAUUCUGUAAGGUUGACCCCUUUUCUGGCUCAGCCAACUGUAAAAGGGAGGUUUGGGAGAUUAAAAAUAAAGGCUUUAUUCACUAUCUUAGGUGGUAUUUUAG